rnacentral:rRNA from 1 species
AUUGAACGCUGGCGGCAUGCCUUACACAUGCAAGUCGAACGGUAACAGGUCUUCGGAUGCUGACGAGUGGCGAACGGGUGAGUAAUACAUCGGAACGUACCUAGUAGUUGGGGAUAACUACUCGUAAGAGUGGCUAAUACCGCAUGAGAUCUACGGAUGAAAGCAGGGGAUCUAAAGACCUUGUGCUACUGGAGCGGCAGAUGGCAGAUUAGUUAGUGGGUGGGAUAAAAGCUUACCAAGCCGACGGUCGGUACCUGGUCUGAGAGGACGAUAAGCAACAAUGGGAGUGAAACACGGCCCAGAAUCCUACGGGAGGCAGCAGUGGGGAAUUUUGGACAAUGGGCGAAAGCCUGAUCCAGCAAUGCCGCGUGCAGGAUGAAGGCCUUCGGGUUGUAAACUGCUUUUGUACGGAACGAAAAGCCCUGGGUUAAUACCCUGGGGUCAUGACGGUACCGUAAGAAUAAGCACCGGCUAACUACGUGCCAGCAGCCGCCGUAAGAC